GCCUAAUACAUUCAAGAUACGAGCGAAUGGAUUGAGAGCUUGCUCUCAAGAAGUUAGCGGCGGACGGGUGAGUAACACGUGGGUAACCUGCCCAUAAGACUGGGAUAACUCCGGGAAACCGGGGCUAAUACCGGAUAACAUUUUGAACUGCAUGGUUCGAAAUUGAAAGGCGGCUUCGGCUGUCACUUAUGGAUGGACCCGCGUCGCAUUAGCUAGUUGGUGAGGUAACGGCUCACCAAGGCAACGAUGCGUAGCCGACCUGAGAGGGUGAUCGGCCACACUGGGACUGAGACACGGCCCAGACUCCUACGGGAGGCAGCAGUAGGGAAUCUUCCGCAAUGGACGAAAGUCUGACGGAGCAACGCCGCGUGAGUGAUGAAGGCUUUCGGGUCGUAAAACUCUGUUGUUAGGGAAGAACAAGUGCUAGUUGAAUAAGCUGGCACCUUGACGGUACCUAACCAGAAAGCCACGGCUAACUACGUGCCAGCAGCCGCGGUAAUACGUAGGUGGCAAGCGUUAUCCGGAAUUAUUGGGCGUAAAGCGCGCGCAGGUGGUUUCUUAAGUCUGAUGUGAAAGCCCACGGCUCAACCGUGGAGGGUCAUUGGGAAACUGGGAGACUUGAGUGCAGAAGAGGAAAGUGGAAUUCCAUGUGUAGCGGUGAAAAUGCGUAGAGAUAUGGGAGGA
rnacentral:rRNA from 1 species